ACAGUCUGUACAGGUAGAUCAGACUUUCUCUUCCUAGAGCUGAGGAUGAGACCAGUUUUUAUAAUAAUGCUGUACAAUAAGGCUGAUUAAAAAAUCUGCAAAAUACAGUGUAUUGGAAAUGGAGUAAUCUAGUUACAAGGAUGCUAAUUGGAAAACAGUUAUCAGAUGAAUGUCCUGUUCCUUCACACAAUGCAACAUCCUGAAAGUAUCGAUGGUUCCAUUCCCCUUCACAGAGAGAAAGCAGCAGCAGACCUGGAAAGAACUGGGGCUACCAAACAGAGGAGGAAUUGAAGCCCAAGCUCAAGUCUAGAGUACAUCGUUUUUCUGGAAAGAUGCAAGAGCAUAACUGGGGGUACUCAAAUGUAAGAAAGCAAGAAAGAAAAAUCUAACCAGUGACAUCAAAAAAAGGUUACGAAUUGAUUGAGUGCUCUAUGAGGCAAGAAGCCCCGAAGACUCUCAACCUUCAAAGAAAAAAUUAUUUCUUAUCUCAAUCUUAAAUUGGCACCGCUUCAUACCGAGACUAUAUCCCCUGGUUGGAGAGCCUCCCAAGAGGGGAAACAUCCUCCCAAUAUUUAUUCUGUCAAGUGCUUUAAGAAUCCUAUACUGCCAGAUGUGUUGAGUUCCUCCAACAAUUUCUGAGAGGUAACGGGAGGCUUGUUGGAAUCUUAUAAAUGCCGGAAUGAAGUGAAUGAUGCUGAAAAAUCUGGGGAAUCACGUAAGUAGUACAAUGAAGCCUUUUCUGACAUGGGGAGAAAUAUAUUUCAUUUGCCAAGAAUUCAGGACAUUGAGAUGAGAUUCUUACUAGGAAUUGGCAAGAGGUUUAUUAAAGGGGAUUAUCACUUGUUGUUAUCCUAAUUGACUGCAAAUUUCACUUCAUUAAUAUGUAGCAUCCUAGUCUGCCAAAUGCUGCGAGGAAACUAAAUGAUGAGAAUUCACAACAUGAAAUUCUGAGCAGGUAUCAGCAAUUACAGUUCAUUGCUUGCUCCUCUAGAGAUGCUUUUCAGUCACCCAACAAGCAACAUUCCAGGGUACAAUCCAUGAACACCAGCCACAUGCACUCACAUCCAGGACACUGGCAUCUAGCACCUACACAUUAUGAAGGUAUUUCUACAAUCUGCUAGCAGUACAUUUCUGUACUUUACAGUUUCAAAAGAAAUUUCUCCUCAUCUCAGUUCUAAAUGGCAUCUCAGUUUUAAGUUAUGUCCCUGAUUCAAGACUCACCAACCAGGGGAAACAAUUUAUUUGCAUCUAUAUCUUUACGAUAUUCAUAACUUUCAAUUAGAUCACUUCUCAUACUUGGAAAACCGUUCACUUUACAGAAAAGAAAGUGCUGGAAUUAGAAAACACCAAAAGUAGAUCACUCUUCAGUGUAUCAUAGGAUGUUGUGGGAAGUUGGAGAGGAAAUUGUGGGGCCCCUAACAGAAAUAUUUAUAUCAUCUAUGAAUAUGAAACCUGGAAACUAUAGACAUGUGAGUCAUCGCAUCAGUGGAAGGUACGUUGUUGGAGGGGAUUCUGAAAGAUAGGAUUUAAAUGCAUUUGGAGAGGCAAGGAUUGAUUAGGGAUAAUGUGGAGG